rnacentral:lncRNA from 1 species
GGGGACAGAGAUGAAGGCUAGAGGCUGGGGGGGGGCAUAGAGACGAAAGGUCGAGGGUCAGAGGGGGACAUAGAGAUGAGAGCUAGAGGGUCAGAGGGGGAGCAUAGAGAUGAAAGGUAGAAGUUCAGAGAGGGGGCAUAGAGAUGAAAGGUAGAGGGUAAGACGGGGGACAGAUGAAGGCUAGAGGCUCGGGGGGGGGGGCAUAGAGACGAAAGGUCGAGGUCAGAGGGGGACAUAGAGAUGAGAGCUAGAGGGUCAGAGGGGGAGCAUAGAGAUGAAAGCUAGAGGGUCAGAGGGGGACAUAGAGAUGAAAGGUAGAGGGUCAGAGGGGGACAUAGAGAUGAAAGGUAGAGGGUCAGAGGGGGGACAUAUGAGAGGUAGAGGGUCAGAGGGGGACACGGAGAUGAAGGCUAGAAGGUCAGAGGGGGACAUAAAGAUGAAAGGUAGAGGGUCAGGAAGGGACAUAGAGAUGAAAGCUAGAGGGUGGGGGGCAUAGAGAUGAAAG